rnacentral:rRNA from 1 species
UACGUAGGGUGCAAGCGUUGUCCGGAAUUAUUGGGCGUAAAGAGCUUGUAGGCGGUUUGUCGCGUCUGCUGUGAAAUUUCGGGGCUCAACCCCGAACUUGCAGUGGGUACGGGCAGACUAGAGUGUGGUAGGGGAGACUGGAAUUCCUGGUGUAGCGGUGAAAUGCGCAGAUAUCAGGAGGAACACCGAUGGCGAAGGCAGGUCUCUGGGCCGGAACUGACGCUGAGGAGCGAAAGCGUGGGGAGCGAACAGG